UGCCCCCUGGCAAUGGGCAAAGAGACACCUUGUUGGUGGUGGUGUUCUUCUAUCAGUCAGGGGCAGAGCAGACGGCAGUUCUCUGUCUAUCCUAGCUUGAUGCCUGACUUGGUAGCCAAAGCUGUUUUUUGCCUAGGACUCAUAA